UACGUAGGGUGCGAGCGUUAAUCGGAUUUACUGGGCGUAAAGCGCGCGUAGGUGGCUUGAUAAGCCGGUUGUGAAAGCCCCGGGCUCAACCUGGGAACGGCAUCCGGAACUGUCAGGCUAGAGUGCAGGAGAGGAAGGUAGAAUUCCCGGUGUAGCGGUGAAAUGCGUAGAGAUCGGGAGGAAUACCAGUGGCGAAGGCGGCCUUCUGGACUGACACUGACACUGAGGUGCGAAAGCGUGGGUAGCAAACAGG
rnacentral:rRNA from 1 species